GUGGACAGGGGUGGGUGGCGCACACAGCCAAACCCCUGCCGACCCUGCUGGGCGGCUCCCACCCACCUCCUUCCCUGGGUGCGGGGCACCUGACACGGGGCUGCACCUGCUCGCCUUGGGGUGGGGGCUCCCCUCAGGCUGGACCCCAGAAGGCAGGCGGGGGUGCGACCCGACACGUUGGAGGGCGCACCCCACAUUGCGCAGGAGCCCGUGGCUGCACCCCUGCUCUCCCCGCGGCUGUGGGGGAAGGAAGCGCCCUGGGGCGCCACCUCCUGGUGGCUUCUCGCCCCGCACCUGCUCACCUGAGCAACCUCGCCAGGGUCCCUGCUAGGCCCGAACCCACCGUGUGUAGGACCCAGAAGCCCUGAGACGUUACGGUUUCGACGCAGAAGGUUAAUGACUGAGCGACGAAAUCCCGCCUUGGAGAACCGGGGAUGGUAUCCAAGGGUCUACACCUGUAGGCACAGAGAUCUGUCCCAAGAAGAAACUGAGACCUAGGGGGCUAAGGACCGCCCCGGGGUGACCUUCUCCAGCCCCGGGCCAGCAGCACAGCAGGGACGCACUCCCUGUGGCAGGGGGGUGGGUCCCAGAGCUGAGCGCUGCCCCCACUGCCCCCGGGACACCUGGACCCCGUGCCGCAGCUGAGGGACCUGGCCGGGGUCUCCGGUGAUGAGCCCAAGGUCACUCAAGAUGCCGGCACCUCCGUGCGGGAAGGAGAGCGAAGCUGAGCCCAGGCUGGGCGGCCGGUUUGGGCCGUGGGGGACUGUCCUCCGUCCCCUGGGCUCCCAAAGGCCGGGAAGGGGGAGCCCGGGGUCGCGGCCUGCCGACCCUUUCUGGAGCAGGUGCCCAGGCUCCUGGCGCUUGGCGGGGACCCCGACACGCAGGGAGCGGGACACACGUUUUCCUUUUAAAUCACGGAGGUUUUUUAUUUUACAUGGAAGUAUUUCAUGUUUUGUAACAAAUUUUAGCGAUUUCUAGUGUUUAGAGGCGACCAAAGCUGUCAAGUGUGGGUGUGACCCGUUUCCUGGUGGGGACCUUGUCGCCACCCCGAGGAACUUCUCAGAGCCUGUAAGUUGUAACAAUGCGUUGGGCUGAAUCAGGGAAACCAGGUCGGUGUUUGAACCACGUUUC